CACAUUACAUCCAUGCCUUUCGUGACUGCAGGAAAAACACACGUGGGUUUGUAAUUUUCUUAUCUAAGGUAUCUAUUUAGAAAUGUUAUGACACAUUCUAAACAUAAUAUGUAAACCGUGUAAGCUGCGUUGCGGUCUAGCUGUGUGAAACUGAAAACAAACUGAACUAAAACAGGUUUAAAAUUUUGUUGCGCCAUUGAUUUGGAACAAGACUUUCAUUCGAUCUGUGUUGCAGAAUUCUAGACAGCACAACAACUAUCUAUUGACUUAUUCUCCUAUUGACUUGCAAGAAUUACGCAUGUCAUAAAAAACCAUCUGAUAUAUUUUAAAGGCUAGUUUAUUGUCGCUUUGUCAAUUACAUCAGUGGUUAUUGGUGUGCUGUAUGAUAGUCUUCAUGGUUAAACUUUUAACACAUCUGACUGAGGGAAAUGAAAGCAUGCUGUAAGAGAGCGGAGAUCAUAUCAUUUUAAUAGAGUUACCGUAUUUUUCGCUCCAUAAGACGCACUUUUUUUCCCCUCAAAAGUGAGGGGAAAUGUCUGUGCGUCUUAUGUAGCGAAUGUGAAGAUUUACUUACCUGUCUUGGAGCGUGGGCCGGCUUCACAGCGCGCUCCGCCGUCCAGGAACUUCUAUUUCAGGUUCCGGUUUCCGGCGGGACUGAAAGGAAGUGUCAGCACACUUCCUUUCAGUCCCGCCGGAAACCGGAACCUGAAAUAGAAGUUCCUGGACCGCGGAGCGCGCUGUGAAGCCGGCCCACGCUCCAAGACAGGUAAGUAAUUAUGGGACAAUGGGAGGGGAGACACUAUGGGAGAAGGGGAGGGGGAGACACUAUGGGAGAAGGGGAGGGGGACACUAUGGGAGGGAAACACUAUGGGAUCAGAACACUAAUGGACAAGGGUAGGAGGGGUUAAAGAACACUAUGGGACAGGGAGGAGGGGUUAACAAUCACUAUGGGACAGAGGAAAGGGGGGUUAAAGAUCAUUAUGGGACAGGGGAGAAAAAAAAAUAUUCUGAACAAACUGUCCCAUAGUAAGAAACACUAUGGAACAGUUUGUUCAGAAUAUUUUUUUUUUCUGGGUUUCCUCCUCUAAAAACUAGGUGCGUCUUAUGGUGAGGUGCGUCUUAUGGAGCGAAAAAUACGGUAAAUACAAAAAAAAAAUUGUGAUACUUGCAAAUUUUAAAAGGGAUUUGUGAGAAAGAUAAUAGCUGUAUGUACUUUAAAAGUUAAUUUUAUUGGUGAGGGGAAUGCUGGCAUGAUGGGAGUCUUUUACUAUAUUUAUUUUUAUGGUAUUUGCAUGAGUAACGGGUGUUUGAUUAGUGAGUAAUUGUGUUUACUUUUAUAUUAAACUGUAGCUUCCUUUCUACAAAUCGUGCUGGUGGAAAGUGCAUAUUUGCAGUAUAGCAAGUGGGGGUUGGGCUGUGGGAGCUUGGUGUGACACUUAUUUUGCUCAAACAGCUUGAAAAUGGCUUUACCCACUGGAGGAUAACGUCCUCAGUGUAGCAUUAUAACUUUUACAAUGGGCUGCAGUAGUUAUAGUCUUAAGACUGUCCCUUUUAAAGACUAGAUUGUUAUAAAUAUAUUUAUACAGUAUUUAGUCUCUUAAAUCAGCAGUAUCACUUUUAAGUUACAAAAAAUACACAAUUAAAAUUACUACUUAAAGAAUUGAUAGUAGCAGGUCACUCCACCCAGAACUUGUACAGGAGUGCCAGUGGCAUUGUUGGUGUUCGUUGGUUAGAUCAGGGUUACAUGUGCCUGUGUUUGACAGGCAGUCCUCCUUGUCUGCCAGCUACACAAUCGAAGAGACGCAGAAAAUAAUCUUUUCCGCUGUUGGUAGUAAUACGUCUGCACACCCAGACCUGUCAAUUCUCUUUCCUUCCUUUCAGUGCACCAGGUCUGCACUGCAUGUCUCCAAGCAUGCCGGUUCAAUAAAGUCCAAACCUCUACAAAGAAGGUGGACAACACUGAUAUAGAUAAUACACGAAUGUCUGGGGAAAUUAACGUAAACUGGAAAAAUGGCUGACUUGGAGAUUCUGUGAAGUGUGUCUAUUUUAGCCUAAAAUUUUAAUUUCCCCACAAUUCCUGUUUAAAUGAAUUACCGAGUAAGAGUCUGGCAGUGACCACAGUCACUAUCACUGCCUGUGACACAAGUAUAUCUCGCCAUGUUGCAAUGUUACAUUGUAUUUGUUUUUUGUUUUUGUUUCAUUUUUGUUUCUCAGAAACACCCUUGUUUGGAUACAGUAUAUGCAUGUCAGAUCUAGUCCAUUGCUGCCAUCUCAGCAGGUGCGUGGGUUGGUAAUUUAUCUGAAUUUCAUUUCUAGGGUUGCUCUAAGAAAUGCUAUCACUAUUGAAACCUGCAUUGCGGUCUAGUUGUGAAACUGAAAAAAAAAAAAAAAGGUUUAAACAUUUUCAUGCACCACUAAUCUGGCAAAAGACUAACUUUCCCGCAGUCAAAGUCUUAGAGAGCAAAAUAACUUGCUUUUGUUUCUGGCCUUAAAAUGUUAAUGGUCGACUCUCACCUCAAAGCUAUUCAAUAUAAAAAUGCUUCCAUCAAAUUUUGAAAGGAAAUAUAUUUUCUUUUAACCCCUUCCCAACCGUGGACGUAUUAGGUACGUCCGACAAACGGUCCUUAAGGACCACGGACAUAGUUGAUACGUCCGCAGCUAAUUAGAGCGCUGGAAGCGGUCAUGAUCGCUUCCAGCAGCUCUAAUGGUAUUGCAGCAAUGCCUCGAUGUCAAGGCAUCGUGCAGUACCUCUCCUUACUGCCGGGUGAUCGCUCCCCUUGGAGCGAUUACGUCCGGGUUGCUCCAUGUGAUGCCCAGCAGUCUUCCGAUGCUCUGCCUGUGUGCUGAGUGCCUCAAGGGGUCGAGGCACUCAGUGAAGAAAGAAGGAAGAAAAAAAAUUAAAUUAAUUAAACCUAUUAACCCCUCGCCCCCUUGACAUGUGGCUCCCAAGAUGGCGAUGCCUUUCAUCAUAGAGGCAGGCUAGGGACAUCCAAUCAGAGCUUGCUCCUAUAACAAUGUUUAUUCUAACUAUGAUCCCCAUUUGUCUGAUCAUGACAGUAUUGGUAAAUAUUGACUCUGAUCAGUGUGGAUAUCCCUCCCUCUCUUCACUUGUGUUUUAGUGAGAGAGGGAGAGAGAUCUGUGUUUUAGGUAGAGAGAUUUAGGUAGGUACCGUAUUUUUCGCUCCAUAAGACGCACUUUUUUUCCCCUCAAAAGUGAGGGGAAAUGUCUGUGCGUCUUAUGGAGCGAAUGUGAAGAUUUACUUACCUGUCUUGGAGCGUGGGCCGGCUUCACAGCGCGCUCCGCGGUCCAGGAACUUCUAUUUCAGGUUCCGGUUUCCGGCGGGACUGAAAGGAAGUGUACACACUGAGUGUGCACACUUCCUUUCAGUCCCGCCGGAAACCGGAACCUGAAAUAUUAGUUCCUGGACCGCGGAGCGCGCUGUGAAGCCAGCCCACGCUCCAAGACAGGUAAGUAAUUAUGGGACAAGGGGAGGGGGAGACACUAUGGGACAAGGGGAGGGGAGGAGACACUAUGGGACAAGGAGAGGGGGACACUAUGGGAGAAAGGGAGGGGAGGAGACACUAUGGGACAAGGGGAGGGGGAGACACUAUGGGACAAAGGGAGGGGGACACUAUGGGAGAAAGGGAGGGGAGACACUAUGGGACAAGGGGAGGGGGAGACACUAUGGGAGAAAGGGAGGGGAGACACUAUGGGACAGGGGGGGCACUAUGGGACAAGGGGAGGGGGGGACACUAUGAGACAAAGGGGAGGGGGGGACACUAUGGGACAAGGGGAGGGGGGACACUAUGGGACAAGGGGAGGGGACACACUAUGGGACAAGGGGAGGGGGAGACACUAUGGGACAAGGGCAGGGGGGGACACUAUGGGAGGGAAAGUGCACUAUGGGACAAUGGGAGGGGGGGACACUAUGGGAUCAGAACACUAAUGGACAAGGGGAGGAUGGGUUAAAGAACAUUAUGGGACAGGGUAGGAGGGGUUAACAAUCACUAUGGGACAGAGGAAAGGGGGGUUAAAGAUCAUUAUGGGACAGGGGAGAAAAAAAAAUAUUCUGAACAAACUGUCCCAUGGUAAGAAACACUAUGGAACAGUUUGUUCAGAAUAUUUUUUUUUCUGGGUUUCCUCCUCUAAAAACUAGGUGCGUCUUAUGGUGAGGUGCGUCUUAUGGAGCGAAAAAUACGGUAUUUGUAAAAUUGUGAGACCCAAAGGCUCUUUUCAGAGCCAUUAACCCCUAUCUUGCCAGUGAUAUAUAUAUAUAUAUAUAUAUAUAUAUAUAUAUAUAUAUAUAUAUAAUCACUGGCUCUUGCAAUCAACACCUUUUUGCUAUAUGUGCAUUUUUAGUGGGUCAUUUUUUAAAAUGUUUUUUUUUGUGACAGUUCAUCAAAGGAUCACUAUAUUGUCAGGAAAACAAACUUGUUUUCCUGACACUAUGUCAUCCUUGGGGGACCCUCACCCUCAGGGUCCCCCUCCAGUGGUGCUGAAGGGGUUAAAAUUUCUCAUUCAGCUUCGCAGAAGUGCCUCUAGCAGCUGUCAGGAAGACAGCCACUAGAGGUUGGAUUAACCCUGCUAUGUUUGCAUGUGAAGGGUUAAAUUUAACCUGAGGGACCUGGCGCCCAGACCACUUCAUUGAGCUGAAGUGGUCUGGGUGACUAUAGUGUCCCUUUAAGUAAAGUGAUUGUGAUCAUGUCACAGAGGAUGUAUAGCGCUGAGGAGGCGUAUAUCCUUGCGCUAGAGUCUGGCGCGUCUAUGUCUGACUCCGACCCUGAUUUUGACCCUGCCAGGUGCUCAGAUACAUCACUAGAUACAGUGUCUGCUGCUCGUAAUGUAUCUAGUUAUGAUGUAUCUGUGGCUGCUAGUCCCCCUGCCAAAAGGAGACGUGCUGCUCCAGCUGACAGUGGGUAGUGCCUCAUCGCCAGAGGCAAGAUAUCACUGCAAAUCCUGGCAUCAAUGUGGGUUUCGCAGGAUUGAGCCCUCAGCAGUUUAUGGAGGUGUUUCUGGGCGUUGAUGUAUUGGGGAACAUUGUCACCCAAACUAAUUUAUAUGCCCAUCAGUUCCGUGCUGCAAAGCCUGACUUUUUUGGCCUUAAUUUAAAAAAUUCUGGGCAUUGACUGUGCUGAUGGGCAUCAUAAAGAAGCCCUCCAGCUGCUCCUACUGGAGCAGUAGCCCCAUCGUCUCUACCCCCAUUUACUCCCAAUGUAUGUCGAGGAAGAGGUAUGAAAUGAUUCUACAUUUCAUACACUUCAACGACAACAGCCUGUGCCCCCCUAGGGAGCAUCCCCAGUUUGACAGGGCUGUAUAAAAUCCACCCCCUGAUUACCCACUUUGCUGCCAGGUUUGCAGAGGCUUAUACUCCGGGAAGGAAUAUAUGCAGGGAUGAAUCCAUGAUGAAGUAUAAUGGAAGGCUGGGAUUCAAGCAGUAUAUUCCUUCCAAGCGCUCCAGGUAUGGUGUAAAGGUGUAUAAGCUCUGUGAUAGCGAGGCUGGGUAUACUAAGACCUAGGUAUACGAGGGAAAGGAUGCCCACCUUGACCCUCCAGGUGUCCCAGAACAUAUGGGAACCAGUGGCAAGAUUGUCUGGGACCUGAUAUUGCCCCUGAUGAACAAAGGGUACUACUUGUAUACAGACAAUUUUUAACCAAGUGUCCCUUUGUUUAAGCUACUGUACUGUUUUAAUACAUUAGCUUGCGGAACAAUAAAAAAGAACUGCGCAGGUUUCCCAGGACAACUUGCACGCACCCGGCUACAAAGGGGGGAGACCUCAGCUCCGCACCAAGAGGAGCUGUUGGCAGUUAAGUACAGCGACAAGAAGGAUGUGUACCUUCUUACCACCAUCCACACUGAGAGGACUGUGGAGGUCUCUGUACCUGGCAGAGAUGAGAGCACAAGGAAGCCAGUGUGCAUCAAGGCCUAUAACCGGCUUAUGGGUGGGCUUCAUCUGGCAGAUCAUCUGCUGCAGUCCUACCUAAUUUUAUGCAAGACAAGGGCUUGGUACAAAGAGGUUGCAAUCUACUUAAUGCAGAUUGCAACCCACACACAAAAGGAAACCCCAGAAUGCAACUGACUUUUUUACAGUUUCAGCGCCAGAUCAUUUCGGGGAUUUUGUACUGUGAUGCACCUGCUCCCCGGGCGGUGAUGGGAGAGAGCAGAGUUGGGGGCUACACAUUUAUUUUUAAACCCCCCCCCUCCCCCCCCACUGCAGCAAAGCAGAAUCCUCCAAAAAGAUGCAAAGUCUGUUUUAAGAGGGGGCAGAGAAAAUAUACCGUAUAUUACUGUCCUGAUUGGCCUGGACUCUGCAUUGGGGACUGCUUCAAACGAUACCACACACUGGUCCAUUUUUUUUCAACAUUUGACAUUGUUUUUUGUUACAUUUAACCUAUGUAUGGGGGGCAUGGGUAUACUCAAGAGGCCUUGCAGAAAACAACCUGGAGUGUUUUCUUGCAAUAACCAGCAACAGGCUCUCCUAAAGUCAAAAAGCAAUGUGUGUGUAAAAUGAAAACUGAAAAAUUACCACUACACACUUUCUCCAUUUUUUUUGGCUAAAACGGUUGCAUCAAAGGCAUCAAAGCACUGCAUAUACAAUACCUCUGGGUUUCUACAUUUCAAAUAUAUACACUUUCAUGGCAAUAAAUAAAACUGGGGUACGUGAUAAGCCCCAAAGAUAGGCCUAUCAUAAGAAAUACUCUCAAUUUCAACUCAAAUUACAAGUCAUACAAUUGUAACUGAACAUUCACAAAAUCCUGGCAAACCUAUGCAUGGGGGGGCAUAGGUGUACUCAGGAGGCCUUGCAGAAAACAACCUGGAGUGUUUUUGUGCAAUAACCAAUGACAGGCUCCUAAAUCACACACAAAUGUGUUUGUAAAAAUGAAAACUGACAAAAACGAUUGCAUCAAAGGCAUCAAAACACUCCAUAUACAAUACCGUGGGGUGUCAACAUUUCAAAUAUAUGCACGCGCAUUGCAAGAAUAUAAAUUGGGAUAUCAAAAAGGCCCCCAAAAAGAAGAUAGGCAAAGAAUAUAUAUCAAAUUUGAAAAACACAUGUCAGAAGUUUGGCAUUGCACCCGCCCAAACAACCCAACAAACCUAUGCAUAGGUGGUAUCAUGGUACACAGAAAAUGUUGCUGAACACAUAUUGGGGUGUUCUGUGGCAGUAACACAUAUCAGGAACUGAGAAUCCAUGCUUAAAAUAGAAUGUGUGUGAAAAAUAACACAAUGACUACCCAAACGUUUGACAGAGACUGGUGGUAGAAUUAGUGCAUGGAAAGUGUUAAAAUACCACCAUUUGAAAUACCCUAGGGUAUCUACUUUUCAAAAACAUAUGGUUUGAUGGGGGCAAAUUACAUUGGCUGGCUUCAAAAAUGUCCCAAGUGGGACAUGGGUGUCUGAUGACCAGCUGUGAAAAUUCCUAAUAAUUUGGAAAACUGGAAUGUGCACCCUCCAAAUAAGGUCUUUUAGCCCCCAGAGAACCCAACACACCUAUACAUGGGGGAUAUCACUGUACUCAGGAGAUGUUGCUGAACACAUAUUGGGGUGUUCUUUGGCAGUAACCCUUAAAUGCAGUAUGGUCUUUGUUAAUCUUUGUGGGAAGACCAUUGAGACUAAUAUUUGUUUUUUAAACACUGUCAGACCCAAGGUGCAUGCAUAUGGUUGAAGGAUCUUGACAUAUGGUAAGGAUGAGAUGUGUGGUUUUUGUUAUUUAUUUAUAUUUUUAUUGAGGUUAUAGUACACUAACAUGCUUGAAUUUCCAGCAUGCGGUUGAAUAACAGUAAGACUUGUACAGAAUAAAUGUCAGGAUCUCAACUGUCAGAAAAAACUUGAUGAAAGGAUUGUAUUGCAUACUUUUGAGGUGACAGUUGUUUUUUUUUUUUUUUGUUUUUUUUUUUUUUAGGUCUGUUCCUUCUACCAGUAGUAGAUUUACAAGCUGAUGAUAUAGAGAUUUUGUCAGACUUCCAUACAAAAAAGUUAAAACAAAACUGAUCUAUAUAAUUUAUAACAUAAACAUGUGUGGUAAAAUCCUGAAACAGAACACAUUAGAGGAUUUUAUCCAGUUUGUCUUUUUAUCCUAAAAUGUGAAAUUCUUGACAAUUUGCAAUUCAGUGAAUAAAUUUAUACAAACCUACACCAUAUCACCAUUUAUAACAUUUUAAAAAAAACAAAAAAAAACCUGUAACCAUGUUAUAUUUGCUCGUGCAUUGUUUAUAUUAUUAUUUCUUUCUUUUAUUGCAGUGUAUUGGUUUUAACUGUGUUCUCAAUCCCUUGUCUAGAAAUUGUCCAUGAAGUGAACAUAUUUGGAUGCCUCUCCCUGCCGUCCUGUGAGAGUUCGAGUCAAUUGCCACCAUCUCUGUAAGAGCAUGAGUUUGUAGUAUCACAUUUGAUUUUUAGGUAUGCCCUGACAAGUUAUACUACUACUAACCUACUACUACUAACCUCCACUGAAAAAUGAACGAUAUAAAGGUUAAAAGGGGGUAGGGGGCAUACCACACAAGACAACACAUGUUUAUAACUCAUGUUAUUGCUUAUUGAUUAAGAACAAACAUCGUUUUUUUGUCUGCAGUAUUUAAAAGCUUAGAGAGCAUAACAACUCUCUUUUCUGGUCUUAAGGGAAAACCGCCACCUCAAAACUAAUUUGUUUUAUAAAAUAAUCAUUUCAUGAAGCUUGGAAAGGAGAUAUAUAUAUAUAUAUAUUCCUCCACUAUUUCCUAUGCUACUCGAGUAUAUAAAAGAGUAAGGUAAAGUGCCAGCAUGCAUUAAAAAAAAACCAACUAACAACAACAUAAGAAAGUGCAAGUCUGUGACUGCAAGACUGUAAAAGCAGUCCUUUAAAGCCCCCCUAUGUAGUGUACUCACAAGCUGUAGGGGAAGAAGGUGGUGGUGAAUACAAUUGUUCAGUGUAUAGAACGCUAGUGAAAGCCCAAUCAUGCAGAGAGAAAGAUUUUAUGGACAUUAUAAUUAUUAAGGGACUUUAGCCCAUUCAUCAAAACUUUUUAUUUAUUUAUUUUGAAAACUUGGGUGUUGUAUAGACUACUCGUGAAAUUGUUUUAAUUUCUUAUGUUUAUUUUUUUUAUAUUUUGGGCAUAGUUCCUUUAUUGUGUAUAUGGGUGUAUUUUAUUUAUUGUUUUUGUUUAUAUAUAUCUUUUUUUUUUUUCUAUUUUUAUAUACUUUCAGUUAUUGAUAAUUUUAUGUUAGCAUGGUUGUUUACUGUGAAAAAGUAAAAAAAAUACUGUAACACCACUCUUCCUAUCAUUUACAGGUGAAUGUUGACUGUGUUUAUUUGUGGUUUGUGCUGGCAAUAUGUGAUUGUGAUACACUUUCUGAUACAUACACAAACAUGCUGCACAAUGACACACAACAUGACACUAACAUGCGCACACACAAACUACACAUUCUCUCACACUAACACACCGCACAUUCCAUUAAGUUAUUUCAAUUACCAGCAGUUGCAUAGAUGUUUCAUCUCUCUCUGCCAUGCAUAGUGUGUCCGCCGCCGGGAUAUGACACCACGCUGUAUCUUGAUGGCUUCCAGCCCUGUGCAAUGCAAAGAGCAUCUGUCUACAGCCUCCACGUAAUCAAUAAUGAACAAACAGUCCGCCAGAAUGUUUCUACACCUGCCGAGAUACACCCCCUGUGGGGCACCAAUCCAGUGGCAGGGCUAAAAUAAUUUUUUUUUAAACUUCCUUUCCGGUGACCAGAACUGCCUGUCUCAGACAUGAGGGGUAUAUAAAUUCCAGAAUCCUAUGGGCACAUACUACUUGUUAUGAUAAUGGUCUGUGUGUAAACAGUGCUGCCCUGUAGUUUGAAGACAAACCUUUUAUUCUAGAUUUUAUUUGGAAUCUCUGUGUAUAUGAUCACUCCUGGCAGGACAUUCCAGGUAGAGUCCAACGGCAUCAAGACCUGGCAACCUUGCAACAAAUACUGUUUUAUCACUAGAAAUCUAAAAGUAAAACACCGGUUGGUUCCCACAUUGGUCUGUAUACUAAACUGUCCAAACAUUGUUCAUCUUCUUGAGUACUUGAAAUGAAUGCAUCGUACUGUGACAUCGGAUGACUUGGCAUGGAAUAUUAAAAAAUGUUUUUUUAUCUUUCAGUGUAAUGUCACAUGAUGCUAUGUAAGAUUAAUUUGGCCAACUGUCUGCUUUGACGAUUAUCUUCAUAGUUGGAUGUCAGCAUGAGUCUGAGUGAUUUUUGUGUGUGUAUUUUUGGUAUCACUGGUGAGACAUUAUUAAUGGCAUGUUUGAAAGCUGUGUGAUUAGCUAGUAAUUGUGUUCGCUUACUUAUUGAAAUGCUGCUGUUUCACAAAUCGUGUUGUGUGUGCAUGUUCACUAUAGCAUGUGUCUUCCAUUACCUUCUGCUGUG
rnacentral:lncRNA from 1 species